GAAAGUAAACAAGGGCGCAUGGCGGAUGCCUUGGCUCUCGGAGGCGAUGAAGGACGUGAUAAGCUGCGAUAAGCUUCGGGAAGGUGCAAAUAACCUUUGAUCCGAAGAUUUCCGAAUGGGACAACCCGUCAUUCUGAAGGAAUGACAUCUUGCAUAGCAAGAGGCUAACACAGGGAACUGAAACAUCUUAGUACCUGUAGGAAAAGAAAAUAAUAAUGAUUCCCCUAGUAGUGGCGAGCGAACGGGGAUUAGCCCAAACCAAUGUUGUUACGGCAAUAUUGGGGUUGUAGGACCACGACAUCGCAAGACAUUUCAUGAGUAGAACCCUUUGGAAAAUGGGACCAUAGACGGUGAUAGUCCGGUAUACGAAGUGAAACGAAGCGUAGUGGUAUCCUGAGUAGCGCGGGACACGAGAAAUCUUGCGUGAAUCUGCCGGGACCAUCCGGUAAGGCUAAAUACUCCCGAGAGACCGAUAGCGAACCAGUACUGUGAAGGAAAGGUGAAAAGCACCUCGAACAGAGGAGUGAAAUAGUCCCUGAAACCGUCUGCCUACAAGCGGUCGGAGCAACGUAAGUUGUGACGGCGUGCCUUUUGCAUAAUGAACCUACGAGUUACUUUCUCCGGCAAGGUUAAGGGCUUCAGGCCCGGAGCCGAAGCGAAAGCGAGUCUUAAUAGGGCGUGAUAGUCGGAGUGAGUAGACGCGAAACCAAGUGAUCUACCCUUGGUCAGGAUGAAGGUUGGGUAACACCAACUGGAGGUCCGAAUGGGUAUACGUUGAAAAGUGUUCCAAUGAACUGAGGGUAGGGGUGAAAGGCUAAUCAAACUUGGAGAUAGCUCGUACUCCCCGAAAUGCAUUUAGGUGCAGCCUUGGGAAUUACUACUGUGAGGUAGAGCGACUGAUAAGAUGCGAGGGCUUCACCGCCUAUCAAGUCUUGAUAAACUCCGAAUGCGCAGUAGUUCGAUCCCAGGAGUGAGGGCAUGGGUGCUAAGGUCCAUGUCCUAAAGGAGAAGAAUCCAGACCAUCAGCUAAGGUCCCCAAAUAAUUGCUAAGUUGAACUAACGAAGUCAGAUUGCUAAGACAGCUAGGAUGUUGGCUUGGAAGCAGCCAUUCAUUUAAAGAGUGCGUAACAGCUCACUAGUCGAGGAGUUUGGCGUGGAUAAUAAUCGGGCAUUAAGCAAUUUACCGAAGCUAUGGGAUCAGUAAUGAUCGGUAGGGGAGCAUUCCACUCUGCGUCGAAGGUGAAGCGUGAGCUUUGCUGGAGCGUGUGGAAAAGCAAAUGUAGGUAUAAGUAACGAUAAAGGGGGUGGGAAACCCCCUCGCCGAAAGACUAAGGUUUCCUGAUCAACGCUAAUCGGAUCAGGGUUAGUCGGGUCCUAAGGCUCAGCCGAACGGUGAGGCCGAUGGCAGAACAGGUUAAUAUUCCUGUACUACCUUAAAGAGUGACGUGGAGACGGAGGAGUGACAGCGCCGCGGACUGACGGAAUAGUCCGUUGAAGGGUGUAGAUGUUGAUUAUCCCAGGCAAAUCCAGGAUAAGAGUCGAACCUGAUAGUAUGGAACGUUCUUCGGAACAAUCCAAUAGUGCGUGUAAACAUACUCCCAAGAAAAUCCGCUAAACUUAAUCUUUAAGGUACCCGUACCGCAAACGGACACACGUAGUCGGGUUGAAUAUACUAAGGCGCUUGAGUGAUUCACGGUUAAGGAACUAGGCAAACUGACCCUGUAACUUCGGGAUAAAGGGUCCUCGCUUAACGGCGAGGCGCAGAGAAUAGGUCCAGGCAACUGUUUAACAAAAACACAGGGCUGUGCAAAAUUGAAAGAUGAAGUAUACAGCCUGACACCUGCCCGGUGCUGGAAGGUUAAGAGGAGAUGUCAUCGCAAGAGAAGCAUUGAAUUGAAGCCCCAGUAAACGGCGGCCGUAACUAUAACGGUCCUAAGGUAGCGAAAUUCCUUGUCGGGU
rnacentral:rRNA from 1 species